rnacentral:snRNA from 1 species
CGGCCCUGCGUUUCAUACAAUUCGAAUACGCGCCUCGCCUUUUACUAGACGCGUCCGUGUGUGGGACCAAUGUGGGGCUUAAGAUAAUUUUUGUGAACAACCUCUGGCUAAGC